GAUGAGCGCUGGCGGCGUGCCUAAUACAUGCAAGUCGAGCGAACAGACGAGGAGCUUGCUCCUCUGACGUUAGCGGCGGACGGGUGAGUAACACGUGGAUAACCUACCUAUAAGACUGGGAUAACUUCGGGAAACCGGAGCUAAUACCGGAUAAUAUAUUGAACCGCAUGGUUCAAUAGUGAAAGACGGUUUUGCUGUCACUUAUAGAUGGAUCCGCGCCGCAUUAGCUAGUUGGUAAGGUAACGGCUUACCAAGGCAACGAUGCGUAGCCGACCUGAGAGGGUGAUCGGCCACACUGGAACUGAUACACGGUCCAGACUCCUACGGGAGGCAGCAGUAGGGAAUCUUCCGCAAUGGGCGAAAGCCUGACGGAGCAACGCCGCGUGAGUGAUGAAGGUCUUCGGAUCGUAAAACUCUGUUAUUAGGGAAGAACAAAUGUGUAAGUAACUAUGCACGUCUUGACGGUACCUAAUCAGAAAGCCACGGCUAACUACGUG
rnacentral:rRNA from 1 species